ACCACUCCUAGAGUUUCAUCAGAGAAUACCUUCUGCAACUUGUGCCCCUCCUCUGUCCCCAGAACUACAGACCUGUCACUCGAGCAGCUUUUAGGACAAGGGUGGAGAAGGAUGGUAGACAUAGGAACCCAUAAAGUAGCCAGAAAGCCAGCCAUACUCCUCAGCCUCUCAAAUGCCACCUCACACUUGUGCCCACACCUCCCAGGGGUCCCCAGUGCCUGGUCCAUCAGCCCCCCUCUUCAUGUCACCUGCUUGGCCCUGUGGACACUGAAGGUCAAGGACACCCACACAAGGUCACACCAGCAGCAUGCUGGCGUGUCUUGGCUCAGAAACCCUGGGAACCUAUGAAGACUCUUUUUUUUUUCUUCAUUUCAUGUUUUUUUCUGUGAGAAAUAGGAAGGUGAUGGACUGGACUACAGAUUGAAACCUAAAAGAUACAAGGACCAGAAAUUUUUUUCAUAUUGGAUUAACAGAGUAAAGAAUUGAUCUAGUUGGUCUAUAGCCCUGGACUGGGAUUCCAAUUAAACAAUAAAGUCCUAAAAUAUUCACAGGGAGAAUAUACCACAUCAAGAAAAGCUUA